rnacentral:lncRNA from 1 species
UUCUCUUAGUUGAAUAAAAAAUUGCCAAACUAAUGAAGUUUCUGAACGUUUAGGAGGUUGUCUACUAAAAGUGGGAGUUUGUACGGGUGGGUGUUCCAUUUCAUUAGUAGCAGGACUAGUAGGUGUAUCAUCUAAAUCUACCGGAGCUUGGGUUUAGUCAUCAUCAUCAUCCUCAUUUCCCUCUAAUAUUGGUGCAUUAGGAUAAAGCAUAUUCAUAAUNNN